rnacentral:rRNA from 1 species
GGCUCAGAUUGAACGCUGGCGGCAUGCUUUACACAUGCAAGUCGAACGGCAGCGCGGGGCAACCUGGCGGCGAGUGGCGAACGGGUGAGUAAUACAUCGGAACGUACCCAGAAGUGGGGGAUAACGUAGCGAAAGUUACGCUAAUACCGCAUACGUUCUACGGAAGAAAGUGGGGGACCUUCGGGCCUCAUGCUUUUGGAGCGGCCGAUGUCUGAUUAGCUAGUUGGUAGGGUAAAGGCUUACCAAGGCGACGAUCAGUAGCUGGUCUGAGAGGACGACCAGCCACACUGGGACUGAGACACGGCCCAGACUCCUACGGGAGGCAGCAGUGGGGAAUUUUGGACAAUGGGCGCAAGCCUGAUCCAGCAAUGCCGCGUGAGUGAAGAAGGCCUUCGGGUUGUAAAGCUCUUUUGUCAGGGAAGAAACGGCCGAGGUUAAUACCUUUGGCUAAUGACGGUACCUGAAGAAUAAGCACCGGCUAACUACGUGCCAGCAGCCGCGGUAAUACGUAGGGUGCAAGCGUUAAUCGGAAUUACUGGGCGUAAAGCGUGCGCAGGCGGUUUUGUAAGUCUGACGUGAAAUCCCCGGGCUCAACCUGGGAAUUGCGUUGGAGACUGCAAGGCUGGAGUCUGGCAGAGGGGGGUAGAAUUCCACGUGUAGCAGUGAAAUGCGUAGAGAUGUGGAGGAACACCGAUGGCGAAGGCAGCCCCCUGGGUCAAGACUGACGCUCAUGCACGAAA